GGAAGAUACGUCGAACAGAGAAUAAACCGUAGGUGAACCUGCGGAAGGAUCAUUA
rnacentral:rRNA from 1 species